CAACAGUGUUGGCAUGAUCUGAGCCAGCCAGGAGGAGGGUGGGUGAUUAGAAGCUUGAGAUUCUUAGUUAUACUGAAGGCUUAAUUUGGGCACCAGAAAACCUUAACAAGUAAUCUCACACCUUGAGUCACAAUCUUCCCUUAAUGUAUGCUUUACUCCAGCUUCACACACAUAGACAAAUUCUGUUCGGGGUUCUGGUUUAAGAAGUGAACAGAGACGUAUGACGAGGUUUGUUUAAUGGCAUACUGUACUGGAACGCUGAAGACCUGCAGCAGAUGUAAAUUCCAAGUCUUGUUAUAAUUUUUUAAGAUUGUGAAAUCAAAAUGCAUAUGAAUCAAGUUUUAAUACACUGUCAU
rnacentral:lncRNA from 1 species